rnacentral:rRNA from 1 species
GACGAACGCUGGCGGCGUGCUUAACACAUGCAAGUCGAACGAAGUGGCGAACGGGUGAGUAACGCGUAAUCAACCUGCCAUUAAGAGGGGGACAACAGAUGGAAACGACUGCUAAUACCGCAUACUGAAGGAGGGGAAUGCGUCUGAGUAGCUAGUGGGAGGGGUACCGGCCCACCAAGGCGAUGAUCAGUAGCCGGUCUGAGAGGAUGAACGGCCACAUUGGGACGGAGACACGGUCCAGACUCCUACGGGAGGCCGCAGUGGGGAAUAUUGCACAAUGGGCGCAAGCCUGAUGCAGCCAUGCCGCGUGUAUGAAGAAGGCCUUCGGGUUGUAAAGUACUUUCAGCGGGUAGCGUUACCCGCAGAAGAAGCACCGGCUAACUCCGUGCCAGCAGCCGCGGGAAAC